rnacentral:rRNA from 1 species
UACAGAGGUGGCAAGCGUUGUUCGGAAUUACUGGGCGUAAAGGGCGCGUAGGCGGUCUUGUAAGUCUUGUGUGAAAUCCCUCGGCUCAACUGAGGAACUGCACGGGAUACUGCGAGACUUGAGUUCGGGAGAGGGAAGCGGAAUUCCGGGUGUAGCGGUGAAAUGCGUAGAUAUCCGGAGGAACACCGGUGGCGAAGGCGGCUUCCUGGACCGAUCACUGACGCUGAGGCGCGAAAGCUAGGGGAGCAAACGGG